GACGAACCGCCCAAACGUUAUUCGGAAUUACUGGGCUUAAAGGGUGCGUAGGCGGCCCAGCAAGUCAGGUGUGAAAUCCCACGGCUCAACCGUGGAACUGCGCUUGAAACUGCUGGGCUUGAGGGAGAUAGAGGUAAGCGGAACUGAUGGUGGAGCGGUGAAAUGCAUUGAUAUCAUCAGGAACACCGGUGGCGAAGGCGGCUUACUGGGUCUCUUCUGACGCUGAGGCACGAAAGCUAGGGGAGCGAACGGG
rnacentral:rRNA from 1 species